AGUCACUCACUGGCCUGGAACCGAUAAGAAGGCUAUACCGGCUGACCCAGCAAACAUCAAGGACCUUCCUGUCUGUUUCCCCAUUGCUACUAUUACAAGACUGACGGGGAACAGUACCUUGGUGAGAUAUCUACACAUACACACUCAGCAGCACAACAGAAGCAAAGGAGAAGCAAUCCAAGUGUCAAUGAACAAAGAAUAUGGCAUGGUGAUACAACAGAAGUCUUAGAAAGAAGAGAAAUUCUAAACACACUUCAACAUAAAUGAUCUGAGACUCAAGCUACAAGAUGUUUCAUAAACUUACACUGAGUUCUCACAGAAGAUUUCUCAUGUCGGAUGUAUGUGGAUUUUUUUGAUACAAUUCUUUCCAGUUGUUUCAAUAAA